rnacentral:rRNA from 1 species
CAGUCGCCGCGGGAACACGAAGGGUGCAAGCGUUACUCGGAAUUACUGGGCGUAAAGCGUGUGUAGGUGGUUGUUUAAGUCUGUCGUGAAAGCCCUGGGCUCAACCUGGGAAUUGCGAUGGAUACUGGGCGACUAGAGUGCGGUAGAGGAUAGUGGAAUUUCCGGCGUAGCAGUGAAAUGCGUAGAGAUCGGAAGGAACAUCUGUGGCGAAGGCGACUAUCUGGGCCAACACUGACACUGAGACACGAAAGCGUGGGGAGCAAACAGGAUUAGAUACCCCUGUAGUCCCUGUCUCUUAUCA